UACGUAGGGGGCAAGCGUUGUCCGGAAUCAUUGGGCGUAAAGAGCGUGUAGGCGGCUCGGUAAGUCCGCUCUGAAAGCCCGGGGCUCAACCCCGGGAGGCGGGCGGAUACUGUCGGGCUAGAGUCCGGAAGAGGCGAGUGGAAUUCCUGGUGUAGCGGUGAAAUGCGCGGAUAUCAGGAGGAACACCAAUGGCGAAGGCAGCUCGCUGGGACGGUACUGACGCUGAGACGCGAAAGCGUGGGGAGCAAACAGG
rnacentral:rRNA from 1 species